rnacentral:rRNA from 1 species
GAUGAACGCUGGCUACAGGCUUAACACAUGCAAGUCGAGGGGAAACGACGGGGAAGCUUGCUUCCCCGGGCGUCGACCGGCGCACGGGUGAGUAACGCGUAUCCAACCUGCCUCUGACUGAGGGAUAACCCGUCGAAAGUCGGCCUAAUACCUCAUGGCAUCGUCUGCGGGCAUCCAACGACGAUUAAAGAUUUCAUCGGUCAGGGAUGGGGAUGCGUCUGAUUAGCUUGUUGGCGGGGUAACGGCCCACCAAGGCUACGAUCAGUAGGGGUUCUGAGAGGAAGGUCCCCCACAUUGGAACUGAGACACGGUCCAAACUCCUACGGGAGGCAGCAGUGAGGAAUAUUGGUCAAUGGGCGGGAGCCUGAACCAGCCAAGUAGCGUGCAGGAUGACGGCCCUAUGGGUUGUAAACUGCUUUUAUACGGGGAUAAAGUGAGGGACGUGUCCUUCAUUGCAGGUACCGCAUGAAUAAGGACCGGCUAAUUCCGUG